AUAGAUAAAGGUUUUUAUAUAAAGGCAUGCAGAGCAAGUGUUGGUUGUCUAGAAUGGUUGCCACCAAAGUCCGUAGUGGUGGUUGCGGGACAUGCUCAUUAGUGGUGGUAAUAAGAAGGUGCCCACUGGUGGUGGUCUAAUCUAAAGUUUGUGGCUAGAGUAAGGUUAACGGUGCUGCCACAUAAGUGUUGGCUGUUGGUGGAGGUCACCAGUCAUGGUUGCUAAAAGUUUUACUGGAGUAGGUUAUUAAUGGUGGUUGUCGAAGGCCGCCAACGGAGGGUGGUUGUAGGUGUCACGAGCAUGCUUCACUAAGGCCUUGUUUGCCUAUGGCCGCAUGCUCGAGCAUCCUCAAACCACAUUAUCUUUAUGUUUUGUACUUAGUUUAGUCUAUUGUUUUCUUUUUGUAGUCACCAACCUAAGGUGUGACGUUUUUCAUUUUUCAUAUGCCAGUCUAUCAAAGCUAAAAAAGUCUAAAAUGUACUAUAAGGGAGACAUAGUAGUUGAAUCCCCGACCAAGCCUUGUUGUACUAUUUGCAAUCUAAGCUUUCUUUGCAAUUGACAGUCUUUAAUGCUUUCUCCAA